AUGCCAACUAGGCAGGGAGAUACCAUGAUCACGAAGGUGGUUUUCCCAGGAUGAAGCUUAUCCUUUGUACUCUAGAUGUGCUGACUCCUGCGAUGUCCCCAAAUGCAGGAAACUUGACUGCAUAAUUUGAGGUAGUGCAGGACUGUGUUCCCGUUCUCCCCUG